rnacentral:rRNA from 1 species
GUCUACAGCUAUGCCACCCUGAAUGUGCCCGAUCUCAUCUGAUCUCAGAAGCUAAGCAGGGUCAGGCCUGGUUAGUGCUUCGAUGGAACACUACCUAGGAAUACCAGGUGUUGUAGGUG